UAACCUACCCAUCAGAGGGGGAUAACACUUGGAACAGGUGCUAAUACCGCAUACCAGUUUAUGCCGCAUGGCAUAAGAGUGAAAGGCGCUUUCGGGUGUCGCUGAUGGAUGGACCCGCGGUGCAUUAGCUAGUUGGUGAGGUAACGGCUCACCAAGGCCACGAUGCAUAGCCGACCUGAGAGGGUGAUCGGCCACACUGGGACUGAGACACGGCCCAG
rnacentral:rRNA from 1 species